CGGUUUUCACCGUGAUCUAAGGGUUUCAGCUUCUGAGAUCAUUGUGAAGGCCACU
rnacentral:pre_miRNA from 1 species